rnacentral:sRNA from 1 species
AAUAAAGCAGUGCUUGAUUAUGAGAUAGAAGAGGAGAGAAGGCUUAUGUAUGUCGCGAUGACAAGGGCAAAAGAAAAGUUGUAUCUGUUAUAUGCUAAA